rnacentral:pre_miRNA from 1 species
UUUAAGUAUUGUUGUGAGUUUUUUAUCCAGUGUUUGACCGUUCGUCUUAUUUGAAAAAUUUUUUAUGAUUAGUAUUUUUAUUAUUUUUAGAUGAUAAAACGUGAAUAAUAUGUGACGCAUGACCUUUUUUUAUUUUUUUUAUAUUUCUUGUAAAUAAUACGGGUGAUUAAACAUUAGACACGAAACCCACGACUACACUCAAA